CGACAUCUGUCACACAACAUACUGAUCCGUUUCCAACAUUGGAGUCUUUAACUUAAACCGCAAAGCCUAAAAUACAGGAUAUUUGUUCACAACAUCUCUGUGUUAAAAUGAACUAUUUACAGUAGUGAGAUGGUGGCAUUGAGUGAAAGUAAAAACAACAGGUUUGAUUCAGCUAAAAUGGAAGAGAAAAUAUGAUCCAGCAUCAGGCAAAAAAUGGUUAAGAUGUGCAACUUAAAGUAAAACCAGGUGAAACAAACUUCUCAGGUCAUUUCUGUGACUUUGAUAAUACAUAAACAAAAAAUGUAAGCAAACAUGAUCAUUUAUCAGCAGAAACAAAUGCUGACUUUAAUGGUUGCAUUUCCUGAACAACAGGAGCAUCAGUAUUUCUGGAGAGCUUUUAAAGUAUUUAUCUCUGUCCCAGUUUCAGCUGUCAGAAAACAAACAUGCAGACAGACAUUACCCUGAUUUAAAAAAAGAUCCAGUUGUUAUUUUCAUAAAAAUGACAAAGUGUGUAUUCAUUGUAGCUAAUAUUCUCUAUAAAUGUCCCUGCACAAGAAACCAGACGCAUAUUUACAAGUUUAACUUCAGAACCAUCUUUAGCUAAAACAAAACAAAUCCACUGCAUCCUCACAGCUUUCAGUAAAACAGGUUUUACAACUUUAAAUUUACACUCUGUGUGUUUGUGGAGCUUUUCUCCACCUUUCAAACAUUUUUUAUCAAACAGCUACUUUGGACUCAGAAACCCAACAUCUUGCAUAUUUCUUCAACUUCACCUUUAAACAAAAGUAUAAACUUUAAAUAUAAAUUAUAGAUUUAAUAACUUUAUAUACCUUUUAAUUUUAACACUCUUAACUGGAAAAAUACCUUUCAUUUCCAUCAAGACCCUCAUCAUUAAAUGUACCAGAUCAAUUACUGAUUCAGUUUGUUGGGCUCGUUGUACUAAGCUUCUAAAAAAAGAAUUGAACCUUUAAAUAUUGUAAUCUUAAAUCUGGUUCUCUUCAAAACUGUUUGCAUUUUGUUAUUUUAUAUUAUAUGUUGUAAAUAAAAUUUCUCUUAAAUCUCAUGGUUCUAUGUCCCUUUCUUAAAGUGCCGUUCACUUAACACUGUCAGAGUGAGGUAUAAA